GACAGUGGAAGCUCAGUGGUGGACAGUGGACUCCUGAUCGGAAGGUCCUGAGUUCAAUUCCCAGCACUACCA